rnacentral:rRNA from 1 species
ACGAGAGAUGAGGAGCUUGCUCUUCAAAUCGAGUGGCGAACGGGUGAGUAACGCGUGAGGAACCUGCCUCAAAGAGGGGGACAACAGUUGGAAACGACUGCUAAUACCGCAUAAGCCCACGGCUCGGCAUCGAGCAGAGGGAAAAGGAGUGAUCCGCUUUGAGAUGGCCUCGCGUCCGAUUAGCUAGUUGGUGAGGUAACGGCCCACCAAGGCGACGAUCGGUAGCCGGACUGAGAGGUUGAACGGCCACAUUGGGACUGAGACACGGCCCAGACUCCUACGGGAGGCAGCAGUGGGGAAUAUUGCACAAUGGGGGAAACCCUGAUGCAGCGACGCCGCGUGGAGGAAGAAGGUCUUCGGAUUGUAAACUCCUGUUGUUGAGGAAGAUAAUGACGGUACUCAACAAGGAAGUGACGGCUAACUACGUGCCAGCAGCCGCGGUAAAACGUAGGUCACAAGCGUUGUCCGGAAUUACUGGGUGUAAAGGGAGCGCAGGCGGGAGAACAAGUUGGAAGUGAAAUCCAUGGGCUCAACCCAUGAACUGCUUUCAAAACUGUUUUUCUUGAGUAGUGCAGAGGUAGGCGGAAUUCCCGGUGUAGCGGUGGAAUGCGUAGAUAUCGGGAGGAACACCAGUGGCGAAGGCGGCCUACUGGGCACCAACUGACGCUGAGGCUCGAAAGUGUGGGUAGCAAACAGGAUUAGAUACCCUGGUAGUC